CUUGUAGUAUGGUUGCGUUAACCUUUUUUUUAAUUCAUCUUUUUAAUUUAUCUUUCUAUUUAUUUCCUUACAAUUUCCCCUUCCUUGAUCAACAGGUCGACGGUGGUCUAUGGCGGUGCUGCAGU
rnacentral:ribozyme from 15 species